UUAAUAAUUUUUAGCUCUACUGGUCAGAGACCAGAAGAGCUUAUGCGAUAGUAAGGUGUCCGUCGUCCGUCCAUCUGUCUGUCUGUCCGUCUGUCUGUAAACAAUUUUUCAAAACACUACUCCUCCUACAGUUUGGGUCUGAUUUCAAUAUAACUUGGCACACAAGUAGACUACACUAAGAUACAUAAUUUAGUGCAUCGGUUUUUGAUUUCGAUGAACGGUGUUGCCAUGGUUACUAAAAAUAGAAAUUUCUGUGAAAUUCCUUUAUAACGCUACUCCUCCUACAGUUUUCAUUUGAUUUCAAUAUAACUUGGCACACAA